UACGAAGGGGGCUAGCGUUGCUCGGAAUCACUGGGCGUAAAGGGUGCGUAGGCGGGUCUUUAAGUCAGGGGUGAAAUCCUGGAGCUCAACUCCAGAACUGCCUUUGAUACUGAGGAUCUUGAGUUCGGGAGAGGUGAGUGGAACUGCGAGUGUAGAGGUGAAAUUCGUAGAUAUUCGCAAGAACACCAGUGGCGAAGGCGGCUCACUGGCCCGAUACUGACGCUGAGGCACGAAAGCGUGGAGAGCAAACAGG
rnacentral:rRNA from 1 species